CAUCUUGGUUGGGUCUCUGUUCUUGAAAGAUCGUGAAUAAAUUCUUUUCUUCUCCGCAAUCAGGAAGUUUCUAAACUUUGGACCUAUUGAGAUUAGGUAAAUCCCUGGCCAGCAUAAAAAUUAUAGUUCCAAGAAAGAAAUGAAGGUGAACUUAGCCAUGAUAGUGAACAUGGGAUUUGGAAACGGAACGUGGUGAACCUAACUAUGGUCAUUAACGUGGGGCACUGCUGGAUCCCAGGUAGUGUGGAAGUGGGCCUUCACUGCAGUACAGACCAUCUGAUCUUCUGAUAUCUAGGUUCCAGUCAAGAGGUCUCGGUAAGAUAAAGCUGCUUGCUUACGUAGGAUAUUGUGGCAUCCAGGCAAGGGAUGAUAUGACCUUUAACCGCUGCACAGACCCUCAUGUCUUCAGUUAUCUAAGUAAGUGAUGAGGAAAUCCCUACCACCUUUGGUGCCAUGUUUCCUUGCAGAAAUUCAGGUAAGAAAUGACAGUCUCCUUACCAAUACUACUCAUCAUGCGGUCUUAGCAUUUGCUGCCUCAGAGACUCGGGAUGGCCAGCACUGGUAGUAGUGAGGGAGGGAUUCAGGGUAUCCAGAUAAGUUAUCAUCAUGUUCCUCACUGAAGCGACAACCAUGGGAUAUUUGCAGGGCAGUCAAAAGAUGCUUUGGCUUCUAAUUUCAGUGCUGACCUUGGAUUUCUGCAAGUUGUCAGUUUCCAGUGCAGACAUCCUGUCUGAGCCGCAGUGGCCGUUAACUUUGGACACUGCUGGAAUUCGGGGAAGGGGUGAUGUGGGCCUUAGCCACAGUGCAGACCACCUGAGCUCUCCCAUAGCUAGGUCAAGACAAUUAGGUUGUCUCCCUGACUACAGUUUUGACUGUGGAAUUCUCCUGCUCUCCAGGUUGAAGUCAAGAUAUCCCGAUGAACCUGACAAGGGUUGUUAACGUGGGACAUGGCUGCUAUCCAGCCGUUCAUGUUGGUUCAGAUGUUGCUGCUGUGCCACGUCCCAUGGCCCGUCUCCCCCAGCAGGCCUCCAACCAGUCCAGGAGUCACUGCCGUGUGGCCGUGCACAGUUCCAGUCGCAUCGGCGCAAGCACACGACGGCACAGCCGGAGUUGGCAGGGGUCUGUCCGCUUCACCGGAGAAUCAGCCCCUCCAUGGAGCAGAGGAGCCGGCGUCCUUUCCACUGCCAGCUUUGUGCUGUCGGACCCUUAAUCGCUGUUAACCAGUAACUGCAGAGUGAUGGCUUUUGUUUGCACGCCCCUACUUCUGGGGAGAAGCUACAUCUUUUCAUGCCUGUCGACCAUUCCAUUUCCAUUUCUGUUAAUUGCACGCCCUUUUCCUUUACCUAUUUUUUAAUUAGUUUUUUUGUUCAUCCUUGUCUUAUUGAUUUGUGUGAACUCUUUACAUAUGCUGAAUAAUACGCACAUAUCUGUUAUGUUUAUCCAGAUCUGCGGCUUAUCUUUUAACUUUGCUUGUGGUGCCUUUUGUUGUACAGAAGCUAUUAAUUAUAAUGUCAUAUCUAUCACUCUUCGGUUUUAUGGUUUGGGUCUGCGUGUCUUGUUGAAGAAAUGUUUUUGCAUCCAGACAUCAUAAAGCCAUUUCCCUAUAGUUUUUCCUAAGUGUUUAAAAUUUUCCAUUAUAUGUAGGACUUUGACUCGUGAAAUUUACUCUCUGUACAGAAUUAAAGAGCUGGUUUAUUUUAUUUUACUACCUUUGGGCACUUACCGACCAGCCCACCAGCCGACUGCUCUGUGGUGAUCGUCACAGCUGCCCUGCCCGACCAGAACAGCUGCUGCUCUGUUACUGGAGCUCGUGCCUGGGGUUGUCGUGUCACGAUGCCAGGACAAACACCAGAAACAAACCAGAAGGCUUCUCACUACUGCAGCCACGACGCCUUAAAUACCAAAGUGAAGCCAGCGCUCCGCGGGAGAGCAAGCCUCCACUAAAGCAACAGCGGAUGCUGAACGUGCCCCCCAAGGAUUCUCCGUAGUUUCCUGUUGCACAUGUAAACCAUGUUUAAACGCUUAACUUCUCCAAAAGAGGAACAUUUAUUUUUAUUAUUUCAGCAAUGUUAGGUGUCAUUUUAGAAUUCUGUUUCUUUACCUUGCACAUGGAAUUCAAUUUUGUACUCUUUAUAAGCAUAAUGGUAUUUAUAAGAGAAAAAAGCAGUGAUCAGCAGGCAGACCCCACACCCACAGCUACUGGAGGACCAGGUCCCCACAGCCCACCCUAGCACCAGCAAGCUGCCCAGGAGCCUGGGCUGCCGUCCCCCUGCCACCUGCCACGAGGCCAGGGGUGGGGUGGCAGAUGCUGCCGGAGGGUGGAGUUCCCCGAUGUUCACUGUAGCUUAUCAGCCUCAACCUCCAGCUCCCGCCUGGAUGCUGCACCGUGUUCCACCAGGCGCCAGAGGUUCAGGAUAGUUGGACCAGCCUCUUCCUGCCACU